GACGAACGCUGGCGGCGUGGAUUAGGCAUGCAAGUCGAACGGUAUCAUCCUUUCGGGGGUGAGAGAGUGGCGAACUGGUGAGUAACACGUAGGUUAUCUACCCUCAAGACGGGGACAACCCAGGGAAACUUGGGCUAAUACCGGAUGUGAGCAACUUUUAGUUGUUUGAAAGGUGGCGUAAGCUGUCGCUUGGGGAUGAGCCUGCGUCCUAUUAGUUAGUUGGUGAGGUAACGGCUCACCUAGGCAAUGAUAGGUAGGCGGCCUUAACGGGUGGUCGCCCACACUGGGAUUGAGAUACGGCCCAGACUCCUACGGGAGGCAGCAGUCGAGAAUAGUCUACAAUGGUCGGAAGACUGAUAGUGCGACGCCGCGUGAACGAUGAAUCCCUUCGGGGUGUAAAGUUCUUUUAUAUGUGAGCAGUGCUUCUUAUAUUAAACAGUAUGGGGAGAGAGAUAUUAGCAUAUGAAUAAGCAACGGCUAACUCCGUGCCAGCAGCCGCGGUAAU
rnacentral:rRNA from 1 species